UGGGUUUGAGAAGACUUGAACUUCCGACCUCACGCUUAUCAGGCGUGUGCUCUAACCAGCUGAGCUACAAACCC
rnacentral:tRNA from 1 species